CGCCAUCUGCUGACAAAAGGGAGAAAAGAGGAGGAGACAUCUGAACGCACCACUUCAGGACCAGCGUGUUUGACGACAGGCAACACAUCAGCUUCUCCCUUGUCCUCAUGAAAUAGGCAAUUGGACAUCACUAACCACUGAUGACAAGCGAGCCAAGCAAUCUAUCAGUCUCUCAUUCUGUGCCACAAGGCACAGAAGCUUGCAAGAAGUCAAAGCCCUGUGGCUGUGAAUGGAAUCACACUGUCUGUUUCCUCAUCACAUACACCCAUACUCCCACUUGAGUCAAGAGAUUUCAGCUUCACAGGUAGUUCCUUUCAAUACCCCUAUUUUCAGUAUGUGACAUUUCUUAGCAUUUAAGAACUAUUUGGCUACCAAUCACUGGAAGGGUAGCUGAGCACCACAGGACAAGAGUCACCAGUGGACGUCAUGGAGGCCUGACAGCUGGAGCAUACUGCAUAGGAGUUCUCAUCUCGGAGUACUUGGGGUUGGCUAAUUCACAACUCUGGUAAUUUCAAGCAUUAA